rnacentral:rRNA from 1 species
GGGGGAUAUUGCACAAUGGAGGGAACUCUGAUGCAGCGACGCCGCGUGAGUGAUGAAGGCCUUCGGGUUGUAAAGCUCUGUCUUCUGGGACGAUAAUGACGGUACCAGAGGAGGAAGCCACGGCUAACUACGUGCCAGCAGCCGCGGUAAUACGUAGGUGGCAAGCGUUGUCCGGAUUUACUGGGCGUAAAGGAUGCGUAGGCGGAUAUUUAAGUGAGAUGUGAAAAUCCCGGGCUUAACUUGGGAACUGCAUUUCAAACUGGGUAUCUAGAGUGCAGGAGAGGAAAGCGGAAUUCCUAGUGUAGCGGUGAAAUGCGUAGAGAUUAGGAAGAACACCAGUGGCGAAGGCGGCUUUCUGGACUGUAACUGACGCUGAGGCAUGAAAGCGUGGGGAGCAAAC